AAUUUAUUAUUUUUUAUUUACAAUAAAAAGUUGCCUUUAUAGGAUUAUUUGAUUAUAUUAUAAAUUA
rnacentral:tRNA from 1 species